UAUACGAUUUGGUGUUAGGAAGGCAAAUCCGCUGAAUUUAAGCAUAUAAUUAAGCGGAAGAAAAGAAAAUAACAAUGAUUUCUUUAGUAACGGCGAGUGAACAAGGAAGAGCUCAAGGAGAUAAUUCUAUAUUGUAGUUUGUAAAAAGAUUAUAUGUAUAGAAAUUGUUCUGUUUAUAAGGAAAGAAAUAAUUUGAGAAUUUAUGGGGAAUAUAUAUGUUUAGUUAUUGAAAUAAGUAGGAAUACUUUUCCAUAGAGGGUGAAAGGCCCGUAGUUAAUAAACAUAUGUGUUUCUUUUUUUUGGAUUAUUUUUUUUUUUAAGAGUAGUGCUCUUUGAGAUUGGAGUGCAAAGUUGUGUGAAACAUUUCACAUAAAGCUAAAUAUAUAUAGGAGACCGAUAGCAAACAAGUACCGUGAGGGAAAGAUGAAAUAGUACUCAGGAAUGAGCAGUUAAAUAGUACCUGAAAUCGUUAAGAUGGAACGGAUUAAGAAAGGAAAAUGUAAGAAAGUAGUAAAUAUUACUCGGCGAGUCUUAUUAAGAUACUAUUUUUUUAUAAAGAGAAGCAUGAGUNNNAAAAAAGAGAUUGACAAUCGGACAAUAAGAAAUUAUUUCUUUCCUAUUUCACAAUAUUGUUUACCUCUUUCCUCAGUAAACAGAAUAAUUAUUACAUGUCUUAUAUAUAUAUAUAUAUAAAUAAUACAAUAUAAACUCAUAUAAAUUUAGUUCUUUCCUUCAUAAAUUAAAAUUAAUUAAGGAUACUAUAAUUAAAUAAAUAUAGAAAUACAAAAAAGAAAAAAAAAAGUAAUGAAUACUCAAGCAUACGAAUAUAACCCUUUUAUACCGGCACCCUUUUUCUUACUACUUCCCCCCUUUCAGUCCUGUUUUAUCUAUUCUAUACCCUAAUCUAAUAUAAUUUAUAUUAAAUUGAAUUCUUGUUC